GUCACGCACUUCAUUAUAAUUAUAAUUACAUUACGUACUCCAUUCUAAUAUAAAUUUAAAUUGAAUUUAUAGACCAAGUUAUGGAAAAUGAAAAGACGUUAUGGACCCUACUACAUACUACUACUACCCAUAACUUGAGCCUAUUCCUCACCUGCAGAGCGUCCGUCCAGCUCCAUCCCUCAAGCUCUCAGGCAGUGUCACUGUCUUUCUUUCUUUUCUGUAUCUGGGCUAGCUCAAGCUCUCCUCCCCCUUGUUCUGAUCUCUCCCUAGAGUUCCGUUCCCAUUUAAUUAACCUGAAGCUCAUGAUCAGUGUUACGUGUAGUCAUACAUACAGUUAAUUAUAG
rnacentral:lncRNA from 1 species